rnacentral:rRNA from 1 species
UACGAAGGGGGCUAGCGUUGCUCGGAAUCACUGGGCGUAAAGCGCACGUAGGCGGAUUGUUAAGUCAGGGGUGAAAUCCUGGAGCUCAACUCCAGAACUGCCUUUGAUACUGGCGAUCUUGAGUCCGGGAGAGGUGAGUGGAACUCCGAGUGUAGAGGUGAAAUUCGUAGAUAUUCGGAAGAACACCAGUGGCGAAGGCGGCUCACUGGCCCGGUACUGACGCUGAGGUGCGAAAGCGUGGGAGCAACAGG